rnacentral:rRNA from 1 species
GGAUUAGAUACCCUGGUAGUCCACGCCGUAAACGAUGGACACUAGUUGUUGGAAUUCUUCAGUGACUAAGCGAAAGUGAUAAGUGUCCCACCUGGGGAGUACGAUCGCAAGAUUGAAACUCAAAGGAAUUGACGGGGGCCCGCACAAGCGGUGGAGCAUGUGGUUUAAUUCGAGGCAACGCGCAGAACCUUACCAGCCCUUGACAUGGGGAGUAUGGUUCCUGGAGACAGGAUCCUUCAGUUCGGGUGGCUCCCGCACAGGUGCUGCAUGGCUGUCGUCAGCUCGUGUCG